GUGGGGAAUAUUGCACAAUGGGCGCAAGCCUGAUGCAGCGACGCCGCGUGAGGGAUGGAGGCCUUCGGGUUGUAAACCUCUUUUAUCGGGGAGCAAGCGAGAGUGAGUUUACCCGUUGAAUAAGCACCGGCUAACUACGUGCCAGCAGCCGCGGUAAUACGUAGGGUGCAAGCGUUAUCCGGAAUUAUUGGGCGUAAAGGGCUCGUAGGCGGUUCGUCGCGUCCGGUGUGAAAGUCCAUCGCUUAACGGUGGAUCCGCGCCGGGUACGGGCGGGCUUGAGUGCGGUAGGGGAGACUGGAAUUCCCGGUGUAACGGUGGAAUGUGUAGAUAUCGGGAAGAACACCAAUGGCGAAGGCAGGUCUCUGGGCCGUUACUGACGCUGAGGAGCGAAAGCGUGGGGAGCGAACAGG
rnacentral:rRNA from 1 species